rnacentral:rRNA from 1 species
AACGAACGCUGGCGGCAUGCCUAACACAUGCAAGUCGAACGAGACCUCCGGGUCUUGUGGCGCACGGGUGCGUAACACGUGGGAACCUACACUUAGGUUCGGUAUACCUCCCUUUGAGGGGUGCUAAUACCGGUUAAUGUCUUCGGACCAAAGAUCUCUCGCUUUUGGAUGGGCCUGCGUUGGUUUCGCUAGUUGGUAGGGUAAAAGCCUAUCAUCGCGAGGUUCCAUAGCUGGUGGGGUAGGAGGACCAGCCCCACUGGGACUGAGACACGGCCCAGACUCGUACGGAGGGGAGCAGAGGGGAAUAUUGGACAAUGAGCGAAGACCUGAUCCAGCAGUGCCGGGGAAGAGGUGAAGGCCUUAGGAUUGUAAAGCUCUUUGAGCCGGAGUGAGAAUGACAGUACCGGGUGAAGAAGCACCGGCUAACUCCGUG